GAUGAACGCUGGCGGCGUGCCUAAUACAUGCAAGUCGAGCGAACAGAUGAGGAGCUUGCUCCUCUGACGUUAGCGGCGGACGGGUGAGUAACACGUGGAUAACCUACCUAUAAGACUGGGAUAACUUCGGGAAACCGGAGCUAAUACCGGAUAAUAUAUUGAACCGCAUGGUUCAAUAGUGAAAGACGGUUUUGCUGUCACUUAUAGAUUGAUCCGCGCCGCAUUAGCUAGUUGGUAAGGUAACGGCUUACCAAGGCAACGAUGCGUAGCCGACCUGAGAGGGUGAUCGGCCACACUGUAACUGAGACACGGUCCAGACUCCUACGGGAGGCAGCAGUAGGGAAUCUUCCGCAAUGGGCGAAAGCCUGACGGAGCAACGCCGCGUGAGUGAUGAAGGUCUUCGGAUCGUAAAACUCUGUUAUUAGGGAAGAACAAAUGUGUAAGUAACUAUGCACGUCUUGACGGUACCUAAUCAGAAAGCCACGGCUAACUACGUG
rnacentral:rRNA from 1 species